rnacentral:tRNA from 1 species
UCUAAUAUGGCAGAUUAGUGCAGUAGAUUUAAGCUCUAAAAAUAAAGGUUAACCUUUUAUUAGAA